rnacentral:rRNA from 1 species
GUCUAUGGCCAUACUAGUAUGAAUGUAUCUAAUCUCAUCUGAUCUUGGAAGUUAAGCAGGGUUGGGAAUAUCAGGUGCUAUAGUCU